rnacentral:rRNA from 1 species
UACGGGGGGGGCAAGCGUUGUUCGGAAUUACUGGGCGUAAAGGGCUCGUAGGCGGCCAACUAAGUCGGAUGUGAAAUCCCCAGGCUCAACCUGGGAACUGCAUCCGAUACUGGAUGGCUUGAAUCCGGGAGAGGGAUGCGGAAUUCCAGGUGUAGCGGUGAAAUGCGUAAAUAUCUGGAGGAACACCGGUGGCGAAGGCGGCAUCCUGGACCGGCAUUGACGCUGAGGCGCGAAAGCCAGGGGAGCAAACGGG